rnacentral:rRNA from 1 species
CGACCUCAGAUCAGACGAGACGA